rnacentral:rRNA from 1 species
CAGCCGCCGCGGUAAUACGAAGGGGGCAAGCGUUGUUCGGAAUUAUUGGGCGUAAAGGGUGCGUAGGCGGCUUGACAAGUCUUGUGUGAAAUCUAUGGGCUCAACCCAUAGUCUGCACGGGAAACUGUCGGGCUUGAGAAUGGGAGAGGUGAGUGGAAUUUCCGGUGUAGCGGUGAAAUGCGUAGAUAUCGGAAGGAACACCUGUGGCGAAAGCGGCUCACUGGACCAUUUCUGACGCUGAUGCACGAAAGCUAGGGGAGCAAACAGGAUUAGAUACCCCAGUAGUCCCUGUCUCUUAUAA